rnacentral:rRNA from 4 species
GGCCGGGAACUCAAAGGAGACUGCCAGUGAUAAACUGGAGGAAGGUGGGGAUGACGUCAAGUCAUCAUGGCCCUUACGAGUAGGGCUACACACGUGCUACAAUGGCGCAUACAAAGAGAAGCGACCUCGCGAGAGCAAGCGGACCUCAUAAAGUGCGUCGUAGUCCGGAUUGGAGUCUGCAACUCGACUCCAUGAAGUCGGAAUCGCUAGUAAUCGUGGAUCAGAAUGCCACGGUGAAUACGUUCCCGGGCCUUGUACACACCGCCCGUCACACCAUGGGAGUGGGUUGCAAAAGAAGUAGGUAGCUUAACCUUCGGGAGGGCGCUUACCACUUUGUGAUUCAUGACUGGGGUGAAGUCGUAACAAGGUAACCGUAGGGGAACCUGCGGUUGGAUCACCUCCUUACCUUAAAGAA